rnacentral:rRNA from 1 species
AGGGAAUAGAUACCCCCGGUAGUCCACGCCCUAAACCGAUGUCGACUAGGUGUUCGGUGAGGAGACUCAUUGAGUACCGCAGCUAAACGCGUGAAGUCGACCGCCUGGGGAGUACGGUCGCAAGAUUAAAACUCAAAGGAAUUGACGGGGACCCGCACAAGCGGUGGAUGAUGUGGAUUAAUUCGAUGCAACGCGAAAACCUUACCUACCCUUGACAUGUACGGAACCCUGCUGAGAGGUGGGGGUUGCUCGAAAGAGAGCCGUAACACAGGUGCUGCAUGGCUGUCGUCAGCUCGUGUCGUGAGAUGUUGGGUUUAAGUCCCGCAACGAGCGCAACCCUUGUCAUUAGUUGCUACGCAAGAGCACUCUAAUGAGACUGCCGGUGACAAACCGGAGGAAGGUGGGGAUGACGUCAAGUCCUCAUGGCCCGUUAUGGGUAGGGUCUUCACACGUCAUACAAUGGUCGGUACAGAGGGUUUGCCAAGCCGCG